rnacentral:rRNA from 1 species
AGAGUUUGAUCCUGGCUCAGGAUGAACGCUAGCUACAGGCUUAACACAUGCAAGUCGUGGGGCAGCGGAUACUUAGCUUGCUAAGUAUGCCGGCGACCGGCGCACGGGUGAGUAACGCGUACCGAACCUGCCCAUCACACAGGGAUAGGCUUGCGAAAGCAAGAUUAAUACCUGAUGGUCUCAGUUUUAUGCAUGUAAGAUUGAGUAAAGCCUUCGGGCGGUGAUGGAUGGCGGUGCGUCCCAUUAGGAAGUUGGCGGGGUAACGGCCCACCAAUCCUUCGAUGGGUAGGGGUUCUGAGAGGAAGGUCCCCCACAUUGGAACUGAGAUACGGUCCAAACUCCUACGGGAGGCAGCAGUGAGGAAUAUUGGUCAAUGGGCGAGAGCCUGAACCAGCCAAGUAGCGUGCAGGAUGACGGCCCUAUGGGUUGUAAACUGCUUUUGUAUGGGGAUAAAGUUAGGGACGUGUCCCUAUUUGCAGGUACCAUACGAAUAAGGACCGGCUAAUUCCGUGCCAGCAGCCGCGGUAAUACGGAAGGUCCGGGCGUUAUCCGGAAUUAUUGGGUUUAAAGGGAGCGCAGGCGGGAGUGUAAGUCAGCUGUUAAAUAUCAGGGCCCAACUCUGUUAUGCAGUUGAAACUAUAUUUCUUGAGUACGCACAGGGAUGGCGGAAUUCAGGGUGUAGCGGUGAAAUGCUUAGAUAUCCUGAAGAACUCCGAUCGCGAAGGCAGCCAUCCGGAGCGUAACUGACGCUGAGGCUCGAAGGUGCGGGUAUCAAACAGGAUUAGAUACCCUGGUAGUCCGCACGGUAAACGAUGAAUACUCGCAGUUCGGUCUUUAUGGUCGAGCUGUCCAGCGAAAGCGUUAAGUAUUCCACCUGGGGAGUACGCCGGCAACGGUGAAACUCAAAGGAAUUGACGGGGGCCC